UUUUAAAAUCUUUAAAAAUUAAGGGAAAAAAUGAUAAAAUAUUUGGACAUACUUAUACAUGCAUAUAUAUGCUAUCUUGAAAGUAUUUUACAUAUUAAAAAUAUUAAAAAAAAAAUUGAAUAUCAACAGGCCUAUGUUGUGAGGAAAUACUGAUACUGAUUUAAGGCCGAGGGCCUGAGAUAUGUACGCCACGAGGUGACUUGAUUGCUAUGAGGCCGAUGGCCUAGUUUUGAUGCCACAAGAUGGCUUAUUAUUGCGCUUGGGCUAUAAGGAGGCCCUCUGGAAGUCAACACACCACCAGUAAGUGUGGAUACCCAUUGUGAUGUGUGAUUGAGCCCGAGGGGCUGGUAAUGUGAUCUGUGAUUUGAGCCCGAGGGGCUAGUACUAUUUUGAGACGUUGCCCAAGGGGCGAAUUUAUUGAUACUGUGCCCAAGGGGAGAACUUCUAUUUGUUUACUUUACCUUAAUUUCCUGUCAAUUACCUAGCUACUUGUUGAAAAGGAUUCUUACUUGACUUUUCACUGAUUUAAGGCUUUUAGAUGAUUUUACUACUUCAUUAUCGAAUGCCUUGUCUCUUGCGUAUUUUCUUACUUUCAGUCGUUAUUUACAUUUGUUAUUCACUAAAUUGGAGUACUCACUUUACUCCUUGCACUAUGUGUGCAGAUUCAGGCGUAGCUGGUUCCGCUCCCGAGUGUUGAUCCCUCCAGCUUUAGGCGGGCAUUCGGAGUUCACAAGGUAGCUGUUGGCGUCCACAGCUCCAUGUCUCUACUCUGUUAUCACUUCUAUCUCUUCUCAGAGAGUUGCACUAGUUUAUUGACUUAGCGAAUUUGUAUUAUGACAUAUAGAUGUUCAUGACUAGUGAUACCCCAGUUAGGGAUAUGUAUGGAUGUUCUUUCGUAUUUUUAUGUUAUCAUAGUCAUUUCAGAUUUAUUUAACUAUUAAUAAUUGGAAAAUAGAAAGUGUCGGCUGACCUUGUCUUUACAAGAGGCACCAUCAUGAUCGGAUCCAGGUUUGGGUCGUGACAGUAAACUACUAAAAUAAAAUCAACUAUCAAAAGUGAAACUAUUUUUUAUGUUUUUAAUUUUUAAGAUGCUAAAACAACAAAAUAAAAUACAAUAUAUAUAUCAAAAUCCUAGAAAAUUAAUAUGAAAUCAAAUAGAUAUGUAUAAAAUACCGGAGUAGCUUGAAUAAUAGAGACGGGUCAAAAAUUACAUGUCUACGUAGAGCUGUCACAUCUUUUUUUUUUUUUGAAGAACCAAAAACUAGCAUCCAAUUGUUCUUAUUAAGAACAAUCGAUCCAUGUAGGUUCUAGGUCAAAACAAGUUGAAAUCGUCAAAGAAAUCAAAAAAGGAAAAAAGUUAGGUUUUCUGGAAUUUAAAUCUAUUAUUCUACGUUUUUGGGAAGAUUUAUGGGGAAAUUGAGGGUAAAUUUGGGUUAAGGAGAUGAUGGGGAGUGUAGGAUGAAGCUUUAGGGUGAUUUGGGGGUUGACCGCCGGUGGCUAUGGCUUCUGGUAGCGGCUAAAGUGAUGGGGAUAAUAGAUGUGAGAGAUGGGGAAAUGAAUGAGGUUCUAGGGCUGGGGUCUAUUAGGACAACUAUAAGGAAGGGUUAAUUCAGAG
rnacentral:lncRNA from 1 species